rnacentral:misc_RNA from 1 species
GCAGAGGAAGACGGGAUUCGACGGCGCCGUGGGGAAGAGCCGCUCGGCAGAGAGGAGCACGCCAUGGGAGCCGCGUGGUGAGCUGGGGGCGAGCUGCAGCAGGGAGCCACGGUGAGCGCAGGGAGCAGCAGCCGACCAGGAGGCACGCGCGUGCCAUGGGAGACAGAGGAGCGCGCGUGGGAGGAGCACUCGGCCAGAAUAUGAGCGUCGGCUGCAUUUUUGAAGAGCCCAGGGGCGGCGCCGUACAAAAAUAUCAGGGGAAGAAGGAUAGCGACGAAGCUGUGCGGUGGCGAGAAAAUCAGGAGGAAGAUAACGACGACUUGAAAAAAAUCUGUACCGACGUGCAGCAGAUUUUUUUCUCA